GACGUAGGGGGCUAGCGUUGUUCGGAAUUACUGGGCGUAAAGCGCGCGUAGGCGGACCUGCAAGUCGGGGGUGAAAGCCCGAGGCUCAACCUCGGAACUGCCUUCGAUACUGGCGAUCUUGAGUCCGGAAGAGGUGAGUGGAACUCCUAGUGUAGAGGUGGAAUUCGUAGAUAUUAGGAAGAACACCAGUGGCGAAGGCGGCUCACUGGUCCGGUACUGACGCUGAGGUGCGAAAGCGUGGGGAGCAAACAGGG
rnacentral:rRNA from 1 species